rnacentral:tRNA from 1 species
GUUGUGGGGCUCAGUGGUGAGUGCUUGCCUAGCAUGUGUGAGGCACUGGGUUCGAUCCCUGGCACCACA